rnacentral:rRNA from 1 species
UACGUAGGGUGCAAGCGUUGUCCGGAAUUAUUGAGCGUAAAGAGCUCGUAGGCGGUUUGUCGCGUCUGCUGUGAAAACUCAGGGCUUAACCCUGAGCCUGCAGUGGGUACGGGCAGACUAGAGUGUGGUAGGGGAGAUCGGAAUUCCUGGUGUAGCGGUGGAAUGCGCAGAUAUCAGGAGGAACACCGGUGGCGAAGGCGGAUCUCUGGGCCAUAACUGACGCUGAGGAGCGAAAGCAUGGGGAGCGAACAGG